UGAAUUCACUACUGUAAGUCACUCUGGAUAAGAGUGUCUGCUAAAUGACUAAAA
rfam:Salmo salar isolate Sally breed double haploid chromosome ssa13, whole genome shotgun sequence.